rnacentral:rRNA from 1 species
AACGAACGCUGGCGGCAGGCUUAACACAUGCAAGUCGAGCGCCCCGCAAGGGGAGCGGCAGACGGGUGAGUAACGCGUGGGAACGUACCUUUUGGUUCGGAACAACUCCGGGAAACUGGAGCUAAUACCGGAUAAGCCCUAACGGGGAAAGAUUUAUCGCCGAAAGAUCGGCCCGCGUCUGAUUAGCUAGUUGGUGAGGUAACGGCUCACCAAGGCGACGAUCAGUAGCUGGUCUGAGAGGAUGAUCAGCCACACUGGGACUGAGACACGGCCCAGACUCCUACGAGAGGCAGCAGUGGGGAAUAUUGGACAAUGGGCGCAAGCCUGAUCCAGCCAUGCCGCGUGAGUGAUGAAGGCCUUAGGGUUGUAAAGCUCUUUUGUCCGGGAAGAUAAUGACUGUACCGGAAGAAUAAGCCCCGGCUAACUUCGUG